CCCUGUUUUAUCAAAAACAUCGCCUCCUGCAACAUACCAUGUAUAGGAGGUCCAGCCUGCCCAGUGACUACAAGUUCAACGGCCGCGGUAUUUUGACCGUGCAAAGGUAGCGCAAUCACUUGUCUUUUAAAUAGAGACCUGUAUGAAUGGCUAAACGAGGGCUUAACUGUCUCCCCUUUCAAGUCAGUGAAAUUGAUCUGCCCGUGCAGAAGCGGACAUAAUAAUACAAGACGAGAAGACCCUUUGGAGCUUAAGGUACAAAACUCAACCACGUCAAGCAACUCUACAAAAAGUAAAAACCUUGUGGACCAUGAGACUUUACCUUCGGUUGGGGCGACCACGGAGGAAAACAAAGCCUCCAAGUGGACUGGGUAAAUUUAUCCUAAAACCAAGAGAGACAUCUCUAAGCCACAGAAUAUCUGACCAAAUAUGAUCCGGCCACUAAAAGCCGAUCAACGAACCAAGUUACCCUAGGGAUAACAGCGCAAUCCUCUCCCAGAGUCCAUAUCGACGAGGGGGUUUACGACCUCGAUGUUGGAUCAGGACAUCCUAAUGGUGCACCCGCUAUUAAGGGUUCGUUUGUUCAACGAUAAAAGUCCUACUUGAUCUGAGUUCAGAC
rnacentral:rRNA from 1 species